UACGAAUACGGGAGGCAGCAGUGGGGAAUAUUGCACAAUGGGCGCAAGCCUGAUGCAGCCAUGCCGCGUGUAUGAAGAAGGCCUUCGGGUUGUAAAGUACUUUCAGUCGUGAGGAAGGUGUUAAGGUUAAUAACCUUAGCAAUUGACGUUAGCGACAGAAGAAGCACCGGCUAACUCCGUGCCAGCAGCCGCGGUAAUACGGAGGGUGCGAGCGUUAAUCGGAAUUACUGGGCGUAAAGGGCACGCAGGCGGUUAAUUAAGUUGGAUGUGAAAUCCCCGGGCUUAACCUGGGAAUGGCAUUCAAGACUGGUUAGCUAGAGUCUUGUAGAGGGGGUAGAAUUCCAUGUGUAGCGGUGAAAUGCGUAGAGAUGUGGAGGAAUACCGGUGGCGAAGGCGGCCCCUGGGACAAAGACUGACGCUCAUGUGCGAAAGCGUGGGGAGCAAACGAGGAUUAGGAUACC
rnacentral:rRNA from 1 species